GACGAACGCUGGCGGCGUGCUUAACACAUGCAAGUCGAACGGAAAGGCCCUGCUUUUGUGGGGUGCUCGAGUGGCGAACGGGUGAGUAACACGUGAGUAACCUGCCCUUGACUUUGGGAUAACUUCAGGAAACUGGGGCUAAUACCGGAUAGGAGCUCCUGCUGCAUGGUGGGGGUUGGAAAGUUUCGGCGGUUGGGGAUGGAAUCGCGGCUUAUCAGCUGGUUGGUGGGGUAGUGGCUUACCAAGGCUUUGACGGGUAGCCGGCCUGAGAGGGUGAACGGCCACCUUGGGACUGAGGUACGGCCCAGACUCCUACGGGAGGCAGCAGUGGGGAAUCUUGCACAAUGGGCGGAAGCCUGAUGCAGCAACGCCGCGUGCGGGAUGACGGCCUUCGGGUUGUAAACCGCUUUCGCCUGUGACGAAGCGUGAGUGACGGUAAUGGGUAAAGAAGCACCGGCUAACUACGUG
rnacentral:rRNA from 1 species